AUGGGCGUCCUCCCAAGGCCUUUGUCGCUGCCCCUGUCCCAGACUUUUGUAGGGGUCAGGCGGCCGCUACGGCCACCUUUCCAGCGCUAGGACCCCGGCUAGCCACGAAGCCGGGGACCUUCGGAGCCGGAAGUAGUCCCGCCUGGAACUGGACGACCCCGGAAGCUGCAGUGCCAGCGGCGGCGCGGCAGGGGGCGCGGUUACCCGUGGUUUUUCGCGUUGGACGACGGGCUCUGAGGGCCAAGUUCUUGUCACGAAUUUAGUUUGUUUCAGAGCGGCAGGACUCGUAGCUAGAGAACGAGGACCCACGACGCGUACGCGUUACAGUCCUGUUUCCCUAGAAACGGAGCUGCCGGCGCGGAGGUGGCUUUGAGAUUCUGCGAAAGACCUGACUGCUCUUCAACAAUUAUUGUGUUGCACCCUCCCAGGCGCCCAGUCCAAACCCCGUCAGAAUAACCACCCGGGACAGCGGUGGUCGAAGUAACUACGCCUAACUUUUCGCUUUCCAUCGUGUCCCCUCCAUAAAAACACUGCUGGGCCCCCGGAAUCCAAAGGCGAAGGAGGCACACUCCCUGCCUUAGACUUGUUGAGAGUUUUAUAGGGGCAGUGCAUAACGUACAUGAUGGUGUAUGACGAUUCGGAUGGUAGUACGAGUCAUAAACUCAAAUUCCAACAGCAUCCAGCCAGGACUUUUAAAAUUCCUUGCAACGCAAGUCUACUGGUGACAAAUUCCCUCAAAUUUUGUUUGCCUGAGAAAGUCUUUCGCCCUCACUGUUGAAGGAUAAUUUCACUGGAUACAGAAUUCUAGGACACAAUGAGAAGUCAGCAGUUUGCAACCAAAAGAGUGUCCUCUCUAGAAUCUGACCAGGCUGACACAGCAAUCUACAACUUCCAGCCUCCAGAACUGUGAGAAAUAAAUUGCUGUUAUUUAUAAGACACCCAGUCUGUGGUACUUUGUUAUAGCAGCCUAACAUGACUAAAACACACUGAAUAACCCAAUGUUUGAGUGAUUACCUGUCCUUUACUUCUCUUAUCCAUUCCUCUUGCCUUCCAAUUCCUGCUACCAUUGUCUAGAAGUUGGCUGAAAGGAACAAAGAGCACCUGAUCAGUUAUCUAAUAACAUUUAUUACUUUUUUAUUUCCUACAUUGUGUUACUUU
rnacentral:lncRNA from 1 species